rnacentral:rRNA from 1 species
AACGAACGCUGGCGGCAUGCCUAACACAUGCAAGUCGAACGAGACCUUCGGGCUUACUCGUGCACGGGUGCGUAACCCGUGGGAACCUGCCUUGAAGUCCGCAAGAACGCGCGGAAAGGCGUGCUAAAACGGGCGAUAAUAUUCGAUCCAAAGUUUUGUCGCCUUUGGUUGGGCCUCGGAUGCAUUAGCUAGUUGGUAGCGUAAAAGCCUACAAAGGCUACGAUGCAUAGCUGGUCAGAGAGGAUGAUCAGCCACACUGGGACUGAGACACGGCCCAGACUAUUACGGGAGGGAGCAGUGGCGGAUCCUGGCCUGUGGGCGGUAGGAUGAUGCAGCUAUGCCGCGAGAGUGCUGUAGGCCUGAGGGUUGUAAAGCUCUUUUACACCGGAUGAUAUUGACGGUACCGGGAGAAUAAGCUCCGGCUAACUCCGUG